rnacentral:rRNA from 1 species
AGUAAAUAGAUACCCUGGUAGUCCACGCCCUAAACGUUCUCAACUAGCUUUAGGGGGAAUCGAACCCUUCUGAGGCGAAAGCUAAACGCGUUAAAGUUGAGCGCCUGGGUAGUACGGCCGCAAGGCUAAAACUCAAAGGAAUAGACGGGGUACUUGCACAAGCAGUGGAUUAUGCGGUUUAAUUCGAUGACAAACGAAAAACCUUACCAAGGUUAGAAUCUACGUGAAGACGAGCAGAAACCGUUCGUCGUCCGCAAGGACUAGUAGACAGGUGAUGCAUGGCCGUCGUCAGUUCGUGAUUUGAAAUUGUUCCCUUAAGU